CGAAGCCUAUUGCAUCAAAGAUGUCAGAGUUUGUCUCUCCAGAAGAGCCUUGAGCUUUGCAUGUACUCUUGUAUUUGUGUCAAGUACUUUGAACAAUAUUUUGACAAAUGAAUGUUUGCCCAUUUUCUUGUUGCGUGAAGUUGUCAUGCGAAGAGUAGUUUUACUCUAUCUUGUCCGACCCAAAAUCCUGGGGUCGGCUGAGCCCGACCCUUUGGGGGGGAACUCCGCCUCGCCCGACCCUGAGUCUUGGGGUCGUCUAAGCCCGUCUGCUUCGCCCGACCUUGAGUCCUGGGGUCGGGUGCGCCCGACCCUUUUGAGGGUGGAAGCUCCGCCUCGCCCGACCCUAAGUCUUAGAGUUGGGUGUACCCAACCCCUGAGCAGGGGGUCAGAAUAUUCCAAGCCCCCGAGAUAAUGGUGUGAGCGUAGGCCGCGCUUAGCUUGGAG
rnacentral:lncRNA from 1 species